UGUAAGCGUAUACCAAAGUUGUUGCAGUUAAAACGCUCGUAGUCGGAACUUGGCCGUGUCGGAUGAGUGCACGUCGUGUGCGCGCAUUGCAGAUAUGGCUUUUGUGGUUUUUGUGUACGAUGAGGCACGUUUAUUCGUGAACGUCGUUCCGCAGCCACUCUUUACUGUGAGAAAAUCAAAGUGCUCAAAGCAGGCAUUUGCCGUGAAUGUAUUAGCAUGGAAUAAUAGAAUAGGACUCGGUUCUAUUUUGUUGGUUUGUUGGGGCUGAGUAAUGAUUAAGAGGGACAGUUGGGGGCAUUUGUAUUUCGGCGCUAGAGGUGAAAUUCUUAGAUUGCCGAAAGACAAACUGCUGCGAAAGCGUCUGCCAAGGAUGUUUUCAUUGA
rnacentral:rRNA from 1 species